GGAGGAGGGGAGGAAAGCAGCAGGCUUGUGGCUGCCUAAUAGCAGUGAGAGUUCAGAAUUGCAACAUGCAGUGGUGGAGCCCUAAAGCUGCAUCCUCUUGCUUCAUCUUCAGCCAAGGGAUGCCAAGGCUGAGAUGGGAAGGUGAAAUUGGAAGUGACAUUUGCUUUGGCCUGGCUUUCCUUACUGUGCUGAAAUGGGAAGCAGCUUUUUAACCUCUGCUCAAGAGCUAGCACAAGUUCCCUUAAAUGUUUGUGCUGGGCUUCAGCGGGGGCUGCACUUCGAUUUAAAGUCACUUUUGACUGGCUGGAAGGCAACAAUGGACCCCUUGUAAAGCAUGGACAAUGUUGCCUCUUGUGGAGAAGAGAUUGAGAAGAAUGGCCUAGAGAAUGGCACUUUGUGCUGUAGAAAAUGAGAGCUGUUAUGAGAUUGCUGUGCUGACAGCUCAAGAAGGGGUUUGAACAGAGCAACUGGGAAGCAAAUAGGCUGCUCUUGGUGUCUGUGCAGUCCUCCUGCAGGGUCUCACCUACAUCAGCAGCCUCUUGGUGCCUGUGCUGUGCUCCUGCAGGGUCUCACCUACAUCAGCAGCCUCUUGGUGCCUGUGCUGUGCUCCUGCAGGGUCUCACCUACAUCAGCAGCCUCUUGGUGCCUGUGCUGUGCUCCUGCAGGGUCUCACCUACAUCAGCAGCCUCUUGGUGUCUGUGCUGUGCUCCUGCAGGGUCUCACCUACAUCAGCAGCCUCUUGGUGUCUGUGCUGUGCUCCUGCAGGGUCUCACCUACAUCAGCAGCCUCUUGGUGCCUGUGCUGUGCUCCUGCAGGGUCUCACCUACAUCAGCAGCCUCUUGGUGCCUGUGCUGUCCUCCUGCAGGGUCUCACCUACAUCAGCAGCCUCUUGGUGCCUGUGCUGUGCUCCUGCAGGGUCUCACCUACAUCAGCAGCCUCUUGGUGCCUGUGCUGUGCUCCUGCAGGGUCUCACCUACAUCAGCAGCCUCUUGGUGCCUGUGCUGUGCUCCUGCAGGGUUUCACCUCACGGUGUGGAUGUUUUGUUAGUUCUGUAAUCAAUAAAGCAAUGCUCUGGCAAUGCUAAGCCUCA